GACGAACGCUGGCGGCGUGCUUAACACAUGCAAGUCGAACGAAGUGGCGAACGGGUGAGUAACGCGUAAUAAACCUGCCCUUCAGAGGGGGACAACAGUUGGAAACGACUGCUAAUACCGCAUACUGAAGGAGGGGAUUGAGUCUGAUCUGCUAGUUGGAGGGGUAACGGCCCACCAAGGCGAUGAUCAGUAGCCGGUCUGAGAGGAUGAACGGGCAAAUUGGGACUGAUACACUGCCCAGACUCCUGCGGGAGGCAGCAGUGGGGGAUCUUCCGAAAUGGACGAAAGUCUGACGGAGCAACGCCGCGGGAGUGAUGACGGCCUUCGGGUUGUAAAGCUCUGUUAAUCGGGACGCGGUACCGGAAUAGAAAGCCACGGCUAACUACGUGCCAGCAGCCGCGGUAAUUC
rnacentral:rRNA from 1 species